AUUGAACGCUGGCGGCAGGCCUAACACAUGCAAGUCGAACGAGUGGCGGACGGGUGAGUAAUGUCUGGGUAACUGCCCGAUGGAGGGGGAUAACUACUGGAAACGGUCGCUAAUACCGCAUACUCUCGGAUGUGCCCAGAUGGGAUUAGCUAGUAGGUGGGGUAAUGGCUCACCUAGGCGUCGAUCCCUUGCUGGUCUGCGAGGAUGAUCAGCCACACUGGGACUGAGAAACGGUCCAGACUCCUACGAGAGGCAGCAGUGGAGAAUAUUGCACAAUGGGCGGAAGCCUGAUGCAGCCAUGCCGCGUGUAUGAAGAAGGCCUUCGGGUUGUAAAGUACUUUCAGCGAGGAGGCGUUGCUCGCAGAAGAAGCACCGGCUAACUCCGUGCCAGCAGCCGCGGUAAUAC
rnacentral:rRNA from 1 species